UACGGAAGGCAGCAGUGGGGAAUAUUGGACAAUGGGCGAAAGCCUGAUCCAGCCAUGCCGCAUGAGUGAAGAAGGCCUUCGGGUUGUAAAGCUCUUUUAGUGAGAAAGAUAAUGACGGUACUCACAGAAGAAGUCCUGGCUAACUCCGUGCCAGCAGCCGCGGUAAUACGGAGAGGGCUAGCGUUAUUCGGAAUUAUUGGGCGUAAAGAGCGCGUAGGCUGAUUAGUAAGUUAAAAGUGAAAUCCCAAAGCUUAACUUUGGAAUUGCUUUUUAAAACUGCUAGUCUAGAGAUUGAAAGAGGAUAGAGGAAUUCCUAGUGUAGAGGUGAAAUUCGUAAAUAUUAGGAGGAACACCAGUGGCGAAGGCGUCUAUCUGGUUCAAAUCUGACGCUGAGGCGCGAAGGGCGUGGGGAGCGAAACAGGGAUUAGGAUACCCGU
rnacentral:rRNA from 1 species